rnacentral:misc_RNA from 1 species
AACACUAUUCGCUGCGUCAUUGUGCUCCGUUUUUACCGAGCACCGAAAGUCUCGCCAGCUUUCACUCGCACGCAGCAACCGUGGCCUUGCCGUGCUGCAACUGUAUCCACACGCGCGCGCACACGCACACCUCCACCCGCACAUAGGCCAGCAGAAAAGCAUCGGCAAACCUCUCACGGCGUCAGGAAGAAGCCUGUGACGCAAUGGGACCCAACCGACAGCGGAAACCACCAAAUCCAGGCCGCGGCGGCCGAGGGCGAGCGGCCGCACCUGCCGGCGCAUCCGCGAAGGCAACCCCGUCGAUGAUUACCAACGCCGGCAGAGACCUCAUCAUCGAUGUACUUCAUCACGCUGCCACGGGAGGCAGCGUGCCAGUAUCUGAGAAGCACUUUGAUGCCAAAAUCUCCUCUCGCGUCACGUUUCAGCGCAAUGCACCCCUUAUGCCUUCUGAAAUCCUGCAGCGGCUUUAUGAGGGCUUGGGUUUUCCGCGAGACCUUGUCACGCAGUACCUGACGGACCUCGCUCAGGCGGCUGAGGUGCCUACCUUUAGCGAUGUAACGGAGCUUCUGGAUGAGGCCGGACCUUUUCAGUCGUUUCUGGUCUGCAGCUGUUUCGAACUUUUCAACUGCAUGACCUGGUUCUCGCGGGAGAAGAGCGACGACAAGGUGAGUCCCGAAGAGGGCGAUGCAAUUCUAGAGAACGAGAUUGCAACGAUUGAGAGUCUCUUCAGCGACAGUUUUCUUGGUCGCAAGCACUUUGACGACGAGGACACAAACGAACGCGAACUGUACUUCGGCUUUUGCACCUCUUAUGAAAAGCAGCUGCUCGUAGUCGUACGCUUCCCGGACUAUUAUCCGACAGAGCCGCCGGCGAUUUACGUGCAGCCGCUCCGCAGAAGCUCACCCGAGUCGCUGCCAAGUCUUGUCGUGGCGCCGUCGUGCACGAAAGACAUUUCGGCCGUCGACAGACGCGCCAUAAUGGAUGCAGCCGUGCAGGCAAUAAAUGGGUUCGUGGGUGGUGGGUGUCUGAUGGUACUUAUCUCCGCCAUUCACGGCGCGGUGUCAUCAAUGAAGGAAGUGCGGCCGGCCUCGUCGACGCCGCCGCUGGAUAGGGACGCGGCCGCAAAGGAAAGGUCUGCGGUGCAGCAGCAGCGCAAAGCAUUCCUUGGUGCUCUCACCGGCAACCGUGUGGCCAACAGGGAAGACAUUGAGGAGGCCGCAGAGGACGAAGAGGAUCGCUUCAUUCAGGUCUCGAUGCCGGAGAAGGUCGAGUUGGCGACCGUCGACGCCGCCAGCGCCAGUCGGGAGACGCAGCGCCGCGACUUCUUAGUGUCCGAUGCCGCCCUCGACGUGACUCUCAAGUCCUCGUGGGAAAAACUGAAGACAGAGGGUUCUCUGCGCAAGGCGCGCGACUCGCUCCCGGCGCACAGCGUCCGUGAAACGCUGCGGGCGGCCUUACAGAAGCACAACGCCGUCGUUAUUGGCGGUGAGACCGGUAGCGGUAAAACAACUCAAAUUCCGCAAUUCCUGUACGAGUUCAUGUGCGAGGAAGGACAUGGCAGCUCAGCUAAUAUUGUGUGUACUCAGCCUCGUCGUCUUGCCGCCACCUCCGUGGCUCUGCGCGUCGCCGAAGAGCGCGACGAGGCGGUCGGUGGCACGGUCGGCUACUCGAUUCGCCUAGAGAACUGUGUAUCCAAGAAGACACAAAUCACCUACUGCACUACCGGUAUUGUGCUGCGACGGCUGCAAACAGACAAGUACCUUGGUCGUGUCAGCCAUGUGGUCGUGGAUGAAAUUCACGAGCGGGGCGUGGAUACGGACUUCCUGCUUAUUCUGCUACGCGAUCUGGUGCGGCGACGACAGGAUCUGAAGGUGGUGCUAAUGAGUGCCACGAUGGACUCGGAGCUGUUUGCACGGUACUUCGAUGGUGCCCCGGUCAUCUCCAUCGCAGGACGCACGUUUCCAGUAAAGGUGAUGCACUUGGAGCAAAUUAUCCCCGAGGUCAACUACACCCUUGAGGAGGGCUCGCCGUUUGAGAAGAUUAGCGGGGACAAAGAGACGCGACGGCGCAACACGCGCAAGAAUGUUCUGAACCUCGACUUGGAGGACGUGGAGGAGGACGUGGAGCGGGAGAAGGCGCAGCACAGGCUCGCACAGGUGGUGAGGGCGUCGCCCAAGACACUCGACACACUUGCGCGCAUGAACUAUGACGUGGUCAACUAUGAGCUGAUCGAGUACAUUGUGGAAUACAUCGACACUAAGCUGCGUGCGCCAGGCGCAGUGCUGGUGUUUCUCCCUGGCAUGGCUGAAAUUCAGCGAUGCCUAGAGCAGCUGAAGCUCAACCCCCGCCUCGCCAAGUCGUGCCUCUUCUACAACCUGCACAGCUCGCUUGGGUCGUCGGAGCAGCAAGGAGUUUUUCGGCGGCCACCAGCCGGCAAGCGAAAGGUGAUACUGGGCACCAACAUAAUGGAAACCUCAAUCACCAUCGACGACGCUGUCUACGUCAUCGACACCGGCAAGGCAAAGGAGAACCGCUACAAUGCCCGCAAAAGCUUGUCCGAGCUUGUCACGGUGAACAUCUCCAAGGCAAACUGCCGCCAACGACAAGGCCGAGCGGGCCGUGUGCAGGAGGGCUUCUGCUUUCGCCUUUUCACCGAGGCGCAGUUCGAAGCCUUUGAUGAUCACCAGCUCUGCGAGAUGCACCGCGUGCCGCUGGAGAGCCUCAUUUUGCAGAUUUACGCCCUGCACCUGGGCGACGAGGUCGAGUACUUGCAGAAGGCGCUGACACCUCCCGAGGAACGCGCGAUUCACAGCAGCGUCAAAGUACUGACGACGCUUGGCGCGCUGACCGUGGAAAAGCGACUCACCUCUCUCGGACAGCACCUCGCCAACCUACCUCUUGACGUGCGUGUGGGCAAAAUGAUCAUCCACGGUGCGCUGCUUCAGUGCAUCGAUCCUGUGCUCACCAUGGCCGCCUGCCUCGCGACGAGGUCGCCCUUCAUUGCAUCGGUGGAUUUUCGCACCGAGGUGGAGAAUAUGCGGCGCGCGUUCGCUGGAGAGACGCUCUCGGAUCAGCUCUCCUCGUGGUUUGCCUACAACAAAUGGGUUUCGGUCCUGCAACAGAAGGGUACCGCCGCCGCACGCAAGGUAUGCGAGGACUACCUCUUGUCACCUGCCACACUGAAGCAGAUUCAGUCCACAAAGCGCCAGUAUGAGCGCUACCUGUACGAGGCUGGCUUCCUAGACAGCGCACCGAGCUCGCAUAUGUCACCGAGCAAGUUCAUCUUCCCACCCUUCACAACGCUAGACGAUCGCAUAUUUGAGGCGGGAGGACAGCACUUCAACGAGAACUCCACGAGUACGCGGUGCAUCUUGGCGUGCCUGGUCGCUGGACUGUACCCCAAUGUCGCACAGAUGCGGAUGUCGCGCGGGUCUCGCAGCGUCGGCGGUGGCAAUUGCAGUAGAAGACACACUGUGAAGUUUACCACCUUCGACGGGUCGGAGUGUCUGGUGCACCCCUCUAGUGUGGCGAGCAAAGAAACGUCGUUUGCGUCGCCGCUGCUCGUGUACGUGGACAAGGUCAAGACGUCGGCAACUUUCCUGCGCGAGGUGUCGGUGGUGGCGCCGCUACACGUAAUACUGUUCGGCAGCGGCAAUCUGGAGUACCUUGCAAAGUACGAGGAGCUCUGCGUGGACGAGAUGACGGCAUUUAAGUGCCGCCAGGAAGAUGCAACGUUGCUGACGCACCUCAAGACACAGCUGGACUCUGCUCUGACGCAGAAGAUUAACGACCCGUCGAAAACAUGGGAGUCGAUUAGCAGUGUGGUGGUCCGCGCCAUCGUGAAGCUCCUCAAAGAGGACGGUGGGCGCGCUGGCGGGCUCACGAUUAUCGAUCGCCGUCAGCCCCGGGAGCCGUUGACCGAGCCGCUGGUGCCGGAGGCGGCGGCGGUCCAGCCCGUCGUUCCCGAGAACCAGCCAUUCAAGACGAGCAAGUCUUGCUUUCUGUGUGGUGAAACCGGGCACGUGUCGCGGUACUGUCCGCACAACAGCACGCAUCACAAGGGCGGCCCCCCGGCUCGCUGCUUCAUUUGCGGCCAGUGGCACUUUCCCCAGGAUUGCACACUGGUGAAGGCACUGAAGCGGUAGUGAGAUGUGGCGCCGUACUUACCUUUUUUCCUUGUCAUUUGACUGAAUAGCGCGUUAGAGGCACGGCCGUCUGCCGAUUUCUCGCUCGCUCAUGUCUGAUUCCUGUUUUUGUCUCACAUCAGCCAUUCUAUAGCUUCGUUUCGGGUUCCUGACGCUGCGGUUGCAGCAGACGAUUAAGCAUGAACCUUUUCCCUCACUGAUUCACAGGGGGCAGACGAUCAUAAUGGAGCGCAACAGAAAAAAAAGCGACAGGGAAUAGUACGCAUGCACGGUUGCCUGUGCUCGUUGACGUCCUCUCAUCUGGAAGCGGAA